rnacentral:tRNA from 1 species
GUGGGUAUAGCUCAGUUGGUUAGAGCGCCAGAUUGUGGCUCUGGAGGUCGUGGGUUCGAAUCCCGUUAUCCACCCCA